GUUGUAUCUUGGGAAAGAAAGACCUGAGUUACAGCGAAGUUGAAGCUGCAGUAACGUGCGCGAGAGGCAAAGCCACAGAGUGCUCCGAGCCCUGGGGAGAACCACAGGCUUUGGGGGGGAUUGCGGUGAAGGUCCCGGCGGGAGCCACACGAGGGGAGGGACAACACUGGUGCUUGCAAGCGCGUCCCAGCACAAACUGACAACUCUCCCGACUCCGUGAAGGGGAGUCCAGCCCCCCAGUUCUGCUCCUUGGGAGACACCCACGGCCCAGCGCUGUUCCCAGAGCCCCGUCAUUGCCCCUCAGAGCCCUGUGGACAAGAGCAGGGUACCCUUCUAUCCCACAUCCUGGUACUGCUAUAGGCGAAUUUCCUCCAGUUGCUGCCUGCCAUAGAACAGUAGUCUUAGUCACUGGUUCAAUAAAAGCCAUUAUAGCAAAAGGCUAUUAUGAAGCCUUCAAUCCAAGGA